rfam:Streptococcus parauberis NCFD 2020 Noncontiguous_Finished_Chromosome chromosome, whole genome shotgun sequence.
CAAUAUCAUGAUGGUCAAAGCUCAUGGAGAUUGUAGGUCUUUUUGACGUACACUUUCCUCGGGUUU